GGCGCGGACUGCUGUUGGUGCAGCGGCGGCUGCUGCGGCCCGGACCGCCGCUUCUCCAGGUUGAGCUGCAUCACCCUCUCCUGCUCCUCCAGCCGCUCGCGCUCCAGUGAAAGGAACUUCUCCUUGGCGUCCUGCAAAUGGUCAGCGGCUCGCCGUCAGAGAUAGCGCCCUUCGUGAGCGUGAUGCACGAAUGCUAUGGCGAUACUGAUAUCCGGUGCCGCGGUCGGGCGUGCUGGACCCCGCGCUGAACCAGGAACACCUCGACGUCCUGGACGCCUCGGCUUUCCUCGCCGCAUCACGCACACGGCGCAGGCCCUUCUAGUAAAAGGCCUCGAAUAGUCUAACCUACUUGCGGAUGAGACCGACCGAAACCAGAGGCAUGAGGUUGGAGACCACAAAAGCGACCUUGCCCUGCGGUAUGUCGCGCACCGUCCCACCUUAACGGCCGCACCGGGGCCCCUCUCCUCGCGUCACACUGAGGUUGCUCUGGAACUCCUGGAGCUGUGCCCGGGCUGUGCGCGGGCUGUGCCCCGGUAGCGGUGCGGUACGCUUUCGCGAGGAUGAGGUUAACGGCGGCCAAUUUUCUUGCUCGUUGCGAGAAAUUGAGUUUUCCAACAAAACUGGAAGUACAAGAAAAUAUGCAGUUUCUAUUCCAUGCAAGGUUGUGCUUAGUUGCUCCACAUUGUUGUUGACACCUGUUCUCCCAUUGUAAACAGAUGGCGAGAGAUGGUCGCGUCGCUGUUAAGUGUGUCAAACAAUUGUGGAGACAAGUUAAACACUGUGAAAAAUGUCGACCUAAAUUUACGAUGUAUUUUGUAAUUCAUAUUUGUUGUAAAUUUAUGGCACCCCAAACU